AGUGAACGCUGGCGGUAGGCCUAACACAUGCAAGUCGAACGGCAGCACAGGAGAGCUUGCUCUCUGGGUGGCGAGUGGCGGACGGGUGAGGAAUACAUCGGAAUCUACUCUGUCGUGAGGGAUAACGUAGGGAAACUUACGCUAAUACCGCAUACGACCUACGGGUGAAAGCAGGGGAUCUUCGGACCUUGCGCGAUUGAAUGAGCCGAUGUCGGAUUAGCUAGUUGGCGGGGUAAAGGCCCACCAAGGCGACGAUCCGUAGCUGGUCUGAGAGGAUGAUCAGCCACACUGGAACUGAGACACGGUCCAGACUCCUACGGGAGGCAGCAGUGGGGAAUAUUGGACAAUGGGCGCAAGCCUGAUCCAGCCAUACCGCGUGGGUGAAGAAGGCCUUCGGGUUGUAAAGCCCUUUUGUUGGGAAAGAAAUCCAGCUGGCUAAUACCCGGUUGGGAUGACGGUACCCAAAGAAUAAGCACCGGCUAACUUCGUGCCAGCAGCCGCCGCCG
rnacentral:rRNA from 1 species